rnacentral:lncRNA from 1 species
AGUUACUGCCACCCUCUCCCAGGUCUAGAGAGGGGUACCCACGGUGGAGGGAGGUGGGAGGCCGAGACGGCCCCGGGGGUCGGCGGAGACCCAGCGGGAGCAGGGGGAAAUCGGAAGAGCUGGGGGCAUGGAGCGGGCGAGUUUGGAGCGGAAUGAGCCGGGAGCCCUACGUUGUGGAAGGAAGACAACAGUAUAGGACCAUCAGCAGGACCGGACAGAGAGGGGCACGGUUUCUCUGUAUAGCCCUGGCUGUCCUGGAACUUGUAGACCAGGCUGGCCUUGAACUCAGAAAUCCGCCUGCCUCUGACUCCCGAGUGCUGAGAUUAAAGGUGUGCACCACCACACCCGACAAGGAAGCCUGUUUUAAGAAGUGAUUCCAUGGAGGAGUUCUGCGGCGGCUCAGGGCUUGACUAAACAGUGGACCUCAGGGUCCCAUUUCUCUCAGUAGACAAGAGAGGCUAAACCAGGCUGCAGGUGACAGGAAGAAUUGAAUAAACUGAAAGCAAAGGGCAGCCUUCUAAUUACGCUUCGUGGCUAUGUGGACAACCUGGAGAAGUCUGGAAACCUUUCCUCCUCCAUUUUACUACUUGAGGGAGCAGUGGGUGGGAUACUAGAAGCCAGAAGCCCGAAGCCAGCAGUAGAGCUCUGACUGGCUUGUAUGCCUAGAAAGGAAGGGCUCUUCUUUCGCCUCACGGGCACAAAUGGGACCCACGAGCGCCGAUUUCAGACUAUUCUGAUCCCUUCAAAAAGAAAGUUAGGAGUCCAGGCUACUGUGAGUGAAUUUGAUUCUAAUUGUUUCAGAGAAUAUGGAAUAAAAUAUCUCAUUUGCAGUUGUU